rnacentral:rRNA from 1 species
AGCCACAGCCAUAUCACCCUGGAGCCCAAGACCGGUUUCUCACUGAAGCUAAGCAGGGCUGAGAGCCUGGUCAGUACCUGGACGGGAGACCACAUGGGAAAACUAGGUUGCUGUUGUAA